rnacentral:piRNA from 2 species
UGGCAGGUCACAGAGCCAUUCAGAGGUGU